GUUGAGACAAGAGAUCUCCCCCUCAAGUCGGGCCUCCCGGUCGACCGACUGCUGCAGCUGGUCGACCAGUAUGACCUUAUCGGCUUCGGUGGCAGCAGCCUUAUCUUUUCAGGCCGCGCGCAUGUCACCGAAUCUUCGAUAUCCAGCCUCCAGCUCGGAUAUGUUAUAAAUCAACUGCACAAAAUGAAGCCGACCGUCA
rnacentral:lncRNA from 1 species